UACGUAGGGGGCUAGCGUUGUCCGGAUUUAUUGGGCGUAAAGAGCGUGUAGGCGGCCAUGUAGGUCCGGUGUGAAAACUCGAGGCUUAACCUCGAGAUGUCAUCGGAAACCAUUUGGCUAGAGUCCGGAAGAGGAGAGUGGAAUUCCUGGUGUAGCGGUGAAAUGCGCAGAUAUCAGGAGGAACACCGGUGGCGAAGGCGGAUCUCUGGGCCUUACCUGACGCUCAGGUGCGAAAGCUAGGGGAGCAAACGGG
rnacentral:rRNA from 1 species